CUUUCAGCAUUUACUUCUCUGACCUUCGGGAACUGAGCAGGGUCGGGCCUGGUUAGUACUCAAAUGGGAGACUACCUGGGAAUACUGGGCCUGUAGGC
rnacentral:rRNA from 14 species